rnacentral:rRNA from 1 species
UACAGAGGUGGCAAGCGUUGUUCGGAUUCACUGGGCGUAAAGGGUGCGUAGGUGGCUUGGAAAGUUUGAUGUGAAAGCUCAGGGCUUAACCCUGAAAUGGCAUUGAAUACUAUCGAGCUGGAGGUUUGGAGGGGGGACUGGAAUUCUCGGUGUAGCAGUGAAAUGCGUAGAUAUCGAGAGGAACACCAGUGGCGAAGGCGAGUCCCUGGACAACACCUGACACUGAGGCACGAAAGCCGGGGGAGCAAACAGG